CGCUGCCUAAGCAUACUGGUAGUUGUAGUGCAUUACUCAGGUCCUGUAUUCUCUUCAUAAUACACUUAAUCGUACUGAUGAUUGAUAAUUCAUUUCUAGAAAUUGAAUGGCUCCUGCAAGCUUAUUCAAUUUUUCCGCACCUCAUUCUCUGAUCGACUUGCAAGAUUACAUUUUAGUUUCCACCCAUUUAGGGCACAUGUUAU